ACGGAAGGCAGCAGUGGGGAAUAUUGGACAAUGGGGGAAACCCUGACCCAGCGACGCCGCGUGAGUGAAGAAGUAUUUCGGUAUGUAAAGCUCUAUCAGCAGGGAAGAUAAUGACGGUACCUGACUAAGAAGCCCCGGCUAACUACGUGCCAGCAGCCGCGGUAAUACGUAGGGGGCAAGCGUUAUCCGGAUUUACUGGGUGUAAAGGGAGCGUAGACGGCAUGGCAAGUCUGAUGUGAAAACCCGGGGCUCAACCCCGGGACUGCAUUGGAAACUGUCAGGCUUGAGUGCAGGAGAGGUAAGUGGAAUUCCUAGUGUAGCGGUGAAAUGCGUAGAUAUUAGGAGGAACACCAGUGGCGAAGGCGGCUUACUGGACUGUAACUGACGUUGAGGCUCGAAAGCGUGGGGAGCAAACAGGAUUAGAUACCCUGGUA
rnacentral:rRNA from 1 species